rnacentral:lncRNA from 1 species
CUCAAUUGCGGUACUUUCCAGGCAUGCUCGAAUCCCCCCCAGUUUUUUUUUGGCGACGAUUCGCGGCUCACAUUUUUUGUUUCUAGCAACAGCAAUCGCACCAUGAGCAACACGACGAUUCACAUCUGCAGUGGCAACCGUACCAAUGGUGGGGACAACGGUGACGCCGGCGCCGGUGGCAGUGUCGGCGAUGCCUUCUGCAGCAGUGGUGACAGUAGGGUGGCACGGAUAAAAACGAACCAAUCAGAAACAUUCUGCUGAUGUUCUUUGAGCACACAAAAGGGCAGGUGCGAUUUUGGAGAAAAGGAACUUUCGUACUCCAAAAACGCCCCGGAAAUGGGUUACGAGAGAUGGCCUGCACCAGACGGACACUGAGACGAGACCGCCGUCAGGAACCCACGCAAGCAUGCGAAAGUCAGGUACUGCAGGAAAAGUUUAACACGGUAAUUGCGUAUCUGCCAAACUGUUUUCCGUUUGAUUCUUCUUGGCAGCCACCGUGUGAGGCGUGCCGAUGGGAGUUUUCUUCUAUCGACGCUCCAACGCAGAAGCAGCUUGGCAGUGAGCGUCGUUCGACGGGGGAGCUCUCGGGCUAGGUGAGGUCUUGUCUUGGUUGUUACCGACUGUGCCUUCCGUUUUUGGUGUUGGAGAUGGAAAGUUCUGUUACAACGCCACACAACAUACGCUUCGGGGCUUAGGACAUUUUCUGAGAGACGGGGCUGCUCGAGUCGGGGAGCCGUAAGUCACCAACCCGAUGUGCGCGCCCUGAUUAUGCUGACACGGCCACGCGAGUCGACCCCCGUCUGAGGGGAAUGUUUUAACUUGCCGUAGAGUAGAGCGCUUCGAAAUAUUCUAGAGAAGACGAGGGGGAAUUCCAAAUAGCUGCUGGCCCCCUGGUUGGAAAACCGUACCUCCUCGUGUAUAACAAACCGCCGUACUAAAAACUGCAUUUAAAACUUCGUUCUUCGGUGUAGCGCGAAGGAUGUGACGCCUCUCAAAUAAUAUAUCUGCAUUUAAUGUGACAUUUUGUGCACCGGCGCAUUAACUAUUUUUCAU